rnacentral:rRNA from 1 species
GACGAACGCUGGCGGCGUGCUUAACACAUGCAAGUCGAACGAAAAGCCCUUGCUUUUGUGUGGUGCCCGUCUGGGGAACGAACGGGUAAGAAGUGCGUAAUCUACCCUUCAUUCUGGGGUAGAUACCAGAAAGUGGCGAUAGCACAUGCCAGAUACUACUGCACCAUGGCGUGGGUGGGAGAGGUUCGGCGGCUGGGGAUGGUCACGCGGCUUAUCAGGUUGUGGGUGGGGUAGUGGCUCACGAAGGCGUGGAAGGGUAGCCGGCCUGCGAGGGUGACCGGCCACAUUGGGACUGAGAUAGGGCCCGGACGCCAACGGGAGGCAGGGGUGGGGAUUAUUCCGCGAUGGGCGGAAGCCGGGUGCAGCAACGCCGCGUGCGGGAUGACGGCUUUCGGGUUGUAAACCGCUUUCGGCGGUGACGAAGCGGGAGUGACGGUAAUGGGUAAAGAAGCAACGGCUAACUACGUG